rnacentral:rRNA from 1 species
AUGUUACGAGCUUCUGGAAUACAAUGGAAUCUUCGUAAAGUAGAUCCUUAUGAGUCUUACAACCAAUUUGAUUGGAAAGUCCAAUGGCAAAAAGAAGGGGAUUCGUUAGCUCGCUAUUUAGUACGAGUUGGUGAAAUGAGGGAAUCCAUCAAAAUAAUUCAACAAGCUGUAGAAAAAAAUUCCUGGAGGACCUUAUGA